rnacentral:rRNA from 1 species
UGGCGGACGGGUGAGUAAUGUCUGGGAAACUGCCUGAUGGAGGGGGAUAACUACUGGAAACGGUAGUUAAUACCGCAUAAUGUCGCAAGACCAAAGAGGGGGACCUUCGGGCCUCUUGCCAUCGGAUGUGCCCAGAUGGGAUUAGCUAGUAGGUGGGGUAACGGCUCACCUAGGCGACGAUCCCUAGCUGGUCUGAGAGGAUGACCAGCCACACUGGAACUGAGACACGGUCCAGACUCCUACGGGAGGCAGCAUG